AUUGAACGCUGGCGGCAUGCCUAACACAUGCAAGUCGAACGGCAGCACGGCAGUAGCAAUACUGUGGGUGGCGGGUGGCGGACGGGUGAGGAAUACGUCGGAAUCUGCCCAGUCGUGGGGGAUAACUAGCCGAAAGGUUAGCUAAUACCGCAUACGACCGAGAGGUGAAAGCGGGGGACCGCAAGGCCUCGCGCGAUUGGAUGAGCCGACGUCGGAUUAGCUAGUUGGUGGGGUAAAGGCCCACCAAGGCGACGAUCCGUAGCUGGUCUGAGAGGAUGAUCAGCCACACUGGAACUGAGACACGGCCCAGACUCCUACGGGAGGCAGCAGUGGGGGAAUAUUGGACAAUGGGCGCAAGCCUGAUCCAGCAAUGCCGCGUGUGUGAAGAAGGCCUGCGGGUUGUAAAGCACUUUCAGUGGGGAAGAACAGAUUCGGGUCAAUACCCCGGAGCCCUGACGUUACCCACAGAAGAAGCACCGGCUAACUCCGUGCCAG
rnacentral:rRNA from 1 species